rnacentral:rRNA from 1 species
AUUGAACGCUGGCGGCAUGCUUUACACAUGCAAGUCGAACGGUAGAGGGGGCAACCCCUUGAGAGUGGCGAACGGGUGAGUAAUGCAUCGGAACGUGCCCGGUCGUGGGGGAUAACGCAGCGAAAGCUGCGCUAGUACCGCAUACGAUCUGAGGAUGAAAGCGGGGGACCGUAAGGCCUCGCGCGAUCGGAGCGGCCGAUGUCAGAUUAGGUAGUUGGUGGGGUAAAGGCUCACCAAGCCAACGAUCUGUAGCUGGUCUGAGAGGACGACCAGCCACACUGGGACUGAGACACGGCCCAGACUCCUACGGGAGGCAGCAGUGGGGAAUUUUGGACAAUGGGCGAAAGCCUGAUCCAGCAAUGCCGCGUGCAGGAAGAAGGCCUUCGGGUUGUAAACUGCCUUUGUACGGAGCGAAAAGGUCUCCUCUAAUACAGGGGGCUCAUGACGGUACCGUAAGAAUAAGCACCGGCUAACUACGUGCCAGCCGCCGCAGUAA